rnacentral:rRNA from 1 species
CGCAUCUGUGCAUGCAGCAUAUCAAUAAGCGGAGGAAAAGAAACUAACAAGGAUUCCCUCAGUAACGGCGAGUGAAGCGGGAAGAGCUCGAAUUUGAAAUCUUGAAAGGUCACCUUUCACGAAUUGUAGUUUAAAGAAGUGUUUUCUGUUACGAUCGUAAUAUAAGUUCUUUGGAAUAGGACAUCACAGAGGGUGAGAAUCCCGUCUAUGAUUGCGAUUUGUAGCUUUGUGAUACACUUUCAAAGAGUCGGGUUGUUUGGGAAUGCAGCCCAAAACGGGAGGUAAAUUUCUUCUAAGGCUAAAUAUUGGCGAGAGACCGAUAGCGAACAAGUACCGUGAGGGAAAGAUGAAAAGAACUUUGAAAAGAGAGUUAAAUAGUACGUGAAAUUGUCAAAAGGGAAGCGUUUAACACCAGUGUUGUUUUCUGAAAAUCAACCUCUGUUAGCUUUAUGCAUGUUUGUUUAGACCUAAUCAGCUAUCUUGCAUGUUCUAUUGUUUGCAGUGGUGCACUUUUCAGUUUACAGGUCAACAUCAGUUUUUUUUACCGUAAAAAAGUUAAAGAAAGGUAGCUCAUGGCUCCGGUCGUGAGCUGUUAUAGUCUUUUUCCUAUGCGGUAGGAGAGACUGAGGUCUGCAGUGUAGGCUAUUUGGCUAGAUACUCAGGUGCUAUGUGAUACCAUUUCAUAAACAACUUGUUGAUUAUGUUUUGUCUAUUGCAUACUCGCUUGUACUAUCAUACCUACGCUUAGGAUGUUGACGAUCAGCUGAGCGCG